UGCCAGUGUGUGUAUGUGUGUGUGUGUGUGUGUGUUUAUAUCUGACACACAGAUACAUACACACACACACACACUCGCACA